UUGCUAUGAUGAUUGAUAAAUUUUUUUGAAUAUAUUAUGAAACGUCGACAACCAUGUCGAUCUGAGCGGUUACCUGAGCAA
rnacentral:snoRNA from 1 species